rnacentral:rRNA from 1 species
UGGGGAAUUUUGCACAAUGGGGGAAACCCUGAUGCAGCAACGCCGCGUGAGUGAUGAAGGCCUUUGGGUUGUAAACUUCUUUCGAUCGGGACGAUUAUGACGGUACCGGAAGAAGAAGCACCGGCUAACUCUGUGCCAGCAGCCGCGGUAAUACUACGUG